UUUAACCAAAAAAGUCCGUUUUUCUCCUCUAAAUUUCUCCUCCCUGCCUCAUCGCCGCCUCCGCUCUUCCUGUCCCGGCUCCGCAA
rnacentral:lncRNA from 1 species